GAGGGGAGUGAAAAAGAACCUGAAACCGUGUACGUACAAGCAGUGGGAGCCCCACCACCAAAGCAUUUGCUGUACCGUGUUGACGGAGCGAAGCGACGUCAAACCGAUAAAACAGCAGUGUAAAGUGAGCCGCAGGGCGCUUUGCGCGACAGCGCAAAGGCAGGCGGUUUCGCGUAGCGAAAGCGAAUGCUUUGGGGUGGGGUGACUGCGUACCUUUUGUAUAAUGGGUCAGCGACUUAUAUUCUGUAGCAAGGUUAACCGAAUAGGGGAGCCGGAGGGAAACCGAGUCUUAACCG
rnacentral:rRNA from 1 species